rnacentral:lncRNA from 1 species
ACAUCCUUGGUGGGACGGAGCAGGAAGGCUGGAGAUUUCAUCAAGCUACUCACAGCAGCAUGCCAUUUAAAAUUCAUGAAUUAUUUAUUUCUGGAAUUUUCCGUUUAAUAUUUUUGGACCACAAUUGACCUCAGAUUUUACUUUCUACUCUUGUCAGUCAUAUCUGCAAGGCUGACAGUUACCAGGGGCUGUGGCCAGGCAUGAGGGAGAAUGUGUCAUUGCUGGCUGCGUUGGUCAUAGCAACGUGUCUGCCUCAGAACAGAUCCAGCAUGGAUGAGCAAACAGAAAAAUGUGUAAGAAGGCUUGUGACUGAAACAGACCAAGGCAGACACUUGAAGAAGCAUCUUUCUUGUGAUCUCCUGGCUGGUACCCUGAAGUCCUGUUAUGCCAAUGGACCAGCAACCCUCGCAGGUAGAAGGUCUUGAGUUCGCUGACGUUACUCUCAAAAUACUUUCAGGUUCCGUGGCCAUAGUGACCCCAGCCAAGUUUCACAUUGCCUCCGGACUUCUGGAUGUGGCUCUGCUGCUAAUGCUGGCGGGAUGAAUAUCAAUAGUCAUAAGGAAUGAAAACCAAGACAACUGGAUUUUAACAGGGAGGAAAAGUUGCAAGAAUGGCUAGUAAAGUUCCAAAACUACAAUUUCAUUUGGUUCCUUUCAACAUGGUCUUUGAAGUUUGUUUUGCAUAAAACUCCGAAAAUGAAUGAAUAAAUGAAGAACAGAUUUAAACAGUGGUUCCUCAAGAAUGAUGCUGCCUCAUCUCAUUUGCUCUUUAGAAAUUCAUCAGAAGAUCACCUAUACCGCUACAUGCAAUGCUUUCCAAAGGAUGGUCCUUGCAACAUCAACUCAGAAUACUCUUUUAAACUGCAAUUUACUGGGCCCCAUCUCAGAACUAAGAAUCCGAAGGUUUGGUGGGCAGCGAAUCUAUGUAUCUUGAAUGAAUGGAUUUGUUACUAGAAAGGCGUCUGGAUCCAGACAAGAGAGGUUCUUGGAUCUUGCACAAGAAAGAAUUCCAGAUGACUCCAUAAAGUGAAAGCAAGUUUAUUAGGAAAGUAAAGGCAUAAAGAAUGGCUACUCCAUAGGCAGAGCAAUGGGGUUGCUCCACCAAAGAUACUUAUGGUUACUUCUUGAUGAUAUGCUAAACAAGAGGUGGAUUAUUCAUGAGUUUUCUGGGAAAGAGGUGAGCAAUUCUCAGAACUGAGGGUUCCUCCCCUUUUUAGACCAUAUAGGGUAACUUCCUGACAUUACCAUGGCAUUUGUAAAUUGUCAUGGCACUGGUGGGAGUGUCUUUUAACAUGCUAUUGCUUUAUAAUUAGCAUAUAAUGAGCAGGGAGGAAUACCAGAGGUCACUCUUGUCACCAUCUUGGUUUUGGUGGGUUUUAGUUGGCUUCUUUACCACAACUUGUUUUAUCAGCAAGGUCUUUGUGACCUGUAUCUUGUGGCGACCUCCUAUCUCAUCCUGUGAGUAAGAAUGCCUAAACUCCUGGGAAUCCAGCCGAGCAGGUCUCAGCCUUAUUUUACCCAGCCCCUAUUCAAGAUGGAGUCUCUCUGGUUCAAACAUCUCUGACAGACUGAUGGACAAUAAUUCAGUCAGUUUAUAUGCACUUAACCCCUCCAUCUUUCAUUCUGCAAUCUUAAUUACGAAUGCCGCAUAAGAGAUUUAAUAGGCCUUGCAAAGCAAAACCAGUGAUACAAACAUUUUAAAGCAUACGUAUACUUAGAAAUAAUGCAAAACAUUAGAUAGUAAAUUCUGACAAGAAAAGCUAAUUUGAAAAACAGAAAUAGCUUUAGACAAAAUUUAGGUCUCCAAGGUAAAGUAAAAAGUUUCCAAGUAUUUUUGGAAACUUCAUUUCUCCUUUCUCAGUUUCUCUACGAUUCCAUGCUCCCAACCAAACUUCACAGAGGUCUUUCUCCUCUGUAAGCUAUCUUACUUGGCAUUAGCCAAUUUAAAAAAAAGAACUAGCAAUCACAUAGGCUGAUCACAUACAGAAAACCUGCCAAAACUCUGGUUGAAAGUGAAGAAUUCAGAUAUCUAGAUAUUUUUAUUUAUCCGUAAAUCCAUUCAUUCAAGAUAUGCAUUACUGAAUAAUAUGUACUGAGGGUAGAAAAAUGAGUAAGACAUGGCCCGUGCUUUUAAGAAAAAUUAUUCAAAUUUUAGAAAUUAAGAUCUCAUAGGAUAUUCUUUCAAUGCUGGGCAUUGCCUAACAAGCCUAUAGAAGCAUUUUUUAAAUCUCUAGAAGAAUGUACCUGUGUUUGUGCUGUUUAGUGUUAAUUAAGGGCUUAGAUGCUGUGAAAUUACAUGUUAACAUAUGUUAGUUGCAGAGGCCAGAGAUGUUGCUAAACAUCCUACAAUGUAGAAUUCUCCCUACAACAAAUAAUUCUCUGUCCAAAAAAUCAAUAGCACUGAAGUUGAGAAACCCUGUUCCAAAGAGAUCAAAAGGGAAACCAGGAAACCUUUGCCCUCCUUGGAAAGAGAAGUUUUAGUGGUUUCUGCAGUAGGUUGGUACAUGGGAUAGAAGUCAGGAAGUGAAGCCUGUGAGAGGACACUGCAGGUUUUUCCCAGUGGAGGUUGUUAAAUAAGGAAGUCCUAAAAUGAGAGGGGAGCCAGGGUUAGUGGAAGUUUCUUUUAGGAAUGAUAAUUGGUGGUACCAAAGUAUUUUAAAAUGUUUGAAUCAACUGAAGUUUUUAUUUUUCAUUUGGAUGUUAGAUGCCUUCGAAACUUUCAUCUAAGCCAUGUUAACAGUGUGUUAUCUUGAUGAAAGAUCUUUACAGUUUCUGCUUCUUUAAAAGGGGAGAAAAUAAUGCUGCCUAUUUAUGGCCACAUCUCAUGAUCGCACAGAUUUAGCAAAGGAAAAUACCCAAAGCGCCUUGAUGUCUAAUGUUGGAUUCUCACCGUUAAAUAUUUUAUGAAAAUCUUUUGAUCUUUUGUAAUGUCACUCUGUAAUCUUACUGCAUUUCUGUAGGUAAAUAUCUGAAUUAUUCAAAUUAGUUUAUUAACAGUCUUUCAUUUGUUAAAUACAGAUACUCCUUGAGUUAUGCUUCUUGUACAAUGAGUGACUGGCUGCUCAUUAUGUCUCAAAGAAAGGUUCCUCUCAGCACCCUUUUGUUUGAGAAAGGGGGGGUUUAUGAUACUAGGAGAAGUAAAUGUGAAGUCAUUACUGUCAGAAUUGUCUUUUUUGUUGUUGUUUCCUUAAGAAGUUGUUUCUUAAGGGUUGCUUUGCCUCAUGUGAGAAAGCCAGAGAGUGCUGUGGCAGAAUGGGUCAUUCUCUUCUUGUUGGAAGCCUGGCAGAGCCUGUGGCUGGUGGUAGGAAGGAUUCUUUUUGCUCUAGCUGGUAAGUGGAUGUCAUAGCUGGAGGGCGGGGAUUUUCUGAUCAUUUGACAUUGGACAGUUAUCAGCUGCAGCAGUUGGCGGGGACAAGUUCAGUCUUUUGUUUUGUAAGUGGAAGCAGCCAAGGCCAUAGCAACAGAUAACUGAUUUCCUGACAUCAGCAGGUCUAAGUUAGAAGUCAGUGCCAAACCAUACUGUAUGUUAUCACAUAGGGUAUAAAGGGUUUUAUGGGUUUCUCACAGAAAUUAACCACCAUUUAUAGCAUAAUUUUCAUGAUAUGUCCCAUGUCCCAAACAAUCAAAUUAAAAUUAUUUUGGAUCACAAUCCAUAUGGGUUUGUUACUCUCUUUAGUCUGGAUUUCUUCUAAAAUCAUUACAGUAGUGUUUCAGUUUUCAUCUUCUUCUAGACUGUCUUCUCUGAGAGUCCAAAUAUGUGUCUUAAUAAUGAUAGGAGUAUAAUUUUUAUAAAAUGCAAAAAGUUCUAACAACGGUUGGUUAAUUAAUGUGUCUCUAUUGCAAUAUAUGAGAGUAGAUUCUCUCUGUUUAUUUAUUUGUAUGCCCAGGGGCUCUGUCUACUGAACAAUUUCUUGAAAAGGGUCUGCUCCGAAAGGGAAAAUCACUUUCCUUUGUAUAGUCUGA